rnacentral:rRNA from 2 species
GAGAUGUUGGGUUAAGUCCCGUAACGAGCGCAACCCUUGUCCUUAGUUACCAGCACGUUAUGGUGGGCACUCUAAGGAGACUGCCGGUGACAAACCGGAGGAAGGUGGGGAUGACGUCAAGUCAUCAUGGCCCUUACGGCCUGGGCUACACACGUGCUACAAUGGUCGGUACAAAGGGUUGCCAAGCCGCGAGGUGGAGCUAAUCCCAUAAAACCGAUCGUAGUCCGGAUCGCAGUCUGCAACUCGACUGCGUGAAGUCGGAAUCGCUAGUAAUCGCGAAUCAGAAUGUCGCGGUGAAUACGUUCCCGGGUCUUGUACACACCG